AGCAGGCUCAGAAUUUUUUAAAUGAUAGCAUGUACCUUGUGAUUCUCUGAGAGGCCCGGGGUGGCCUCCAGUUUGCUAUGUAGCCGAGGCUUGCCACAAUUCUGAUCCUUUGGUCUCAGCCUCCCAAAGGUACAUACAACUACAUCCAGAUUAUGAAGAACCGAAGACCAAAAGCAGGACCAUUUGCAUGCAAGAGCUUGAGCCUGCCUGAGGAUGAAACUUCAAAGCAAUUCCACAGGACCCUUAAAGAUGGCUAAUCCUCAGGCAGAACUCCUUUUUCUGUCUGUCCUGCUUCCUGACCCCGCUGCUGGCAGCUGGCCCAGGCUCCCACCUCUGCCCAGGGAGGCAUUCCCUCCCGAUGACCUCAUCAGAAACGGUCCCUCCCGCAGGCCAGGACCUCUCACCACAAAUUCUUCUUCUUCAUCAGAGGCCCUGAAGCCAACGACCCUCACGAGGAAUUCUGGAACCAGGUGACCUGCCUUCCAAGUGACCUGCCUUCCAGGUGACGUGACCUGCCUUCCAAGUGACCUGCCUUCCAGAUUUAGCAUUUUGUAGCCAUGGAGAGUAAAUUUCUCCCAGUUGUUCAUGGACUUGUGGGAUAUCAGUACAUCAAGGAGGCUCCUAACUAUAAUCCCUCUUUUUAAAAGAAAUGCCAGGCAUGAAUGUUGUUGCCACUGGAGGGAGGAGAAGGGAUGAAGAAAGGAUUCAGAGGAAUGACAGGUAAAUCUCUGACCCUUCCAUCAUUCCCUGUGGUGAACAGGGAGCUGAGGGACUAGUCAUCUUGUUUACAGCCACGGCCCACAGGUCAUUCCUCCGAACAAAGGAUUCAGAGUUACCGCCAUGAACCCAACAGAUUAGGCUGAGAAACCAGAUAGUCAGUAUCUGAAAAGGCAAUACCCUUCCUCACUAUGAGUAUGAGUAUGAGUGUGAGUGUGAGUGUGAGUGUGUGUGUGGUGUGUAUGUGUGUUGUGUGUAUGUGUGUGUGUGUGUGUGUGUGUGUGUGGUGUAUACGUGUGGUGUGUGUGUGUGUGUAGUAUGAUGUGUAUGUGUGUGUGUGUGGUAUGUGUGUAUGUGGUGUGUGUGUGUGUGUGUGUGUCUAUGCCUGUGUGUGUGUCUAUGCAUGCAUAGCUGUGGAGGUCAAAGGUCAGUGUUGGUAAUUUUCCAUCAGUCACUGCUCUACCAAUCUUCAGGCUCUCACUGAACCUGGACUUUGUGGAGUAGGCAUGGGAGCCGUGCAUAGGUUUUAGCAUAAGUUCUGGGGAUUCAAAUCAUGUCUUCAUGUAUUCAGCAAGUGCUCCAAUCCAUCUUUCCAGCCCCUGAAGGGCUUUUCUACAAGUGCUAAUGUCCAUGCAUAGGUCUUCAGACCAACAUAUUUUCAUUUCUUGUGUGUCUGAGUGAAGUGUAUGUUGGUAUCUUCCUCAGCCCCUCACCUCAAAGAUCUGUCUCUGUGUGUAGGCCCUGGGAUUACAGGUGUGUAUGGAGCCAGGAUUGUUUUACACAGGUGCUAGGAUUUGAACCCAGGUUCUCAAGCUUGCCCUGGGGACACUUUACCAACUGAGCAAUCUCCCCAGGCCCCUGAUUCUCCCGAAUCCUAGAGCCAAGUCUACACCAAUGAGAACUGAUUGCUGUAAGAAUUUAUUUUCCAUUGAUAAGAAACAUGUGCUUCCUACAUCCUUCUGGGAGUCUUGACAAAUGACAAAUUCAGUCGAACGUACAAAACUCAGCUGCCCACAGCAGCAACUCCUAAAUCAACCUUGAUUUCCUAUUAGUCAAUAUUUCAUGACCUCAUUGCCAAGCCAUGUUGAUCUCCCCUCCCCUCCCGAGGUCUCCCCUCAGGCAGAAUGUCUUGCCUGGGCUAGCCAAGGAAAGCUACUUGAUUUCUCUGACAGGGCUGCUCUUGUGUCUUCUGGUGUGGGUUUCUCUGAUUGAGUCCUUUGUUCUUCAGCCAUCCACCUGCAGGUAAUUAUUCAGUACUUAGAAUGUUUGCAGUGCUGGAGUAAAUGCUGGGGAGUGAAAACUGUUUGCUGAACACUUCUGACACGUCAGGCACUGUGCGAACACUGUCACAGUCCUUAUGUGUUAAUUAGCCUUUCUUAUUGUCACCAAAUACCUAACAAAAAGCAACUUAAGGUCGAAGAGAUUUAUUUUGACUCGUGAUUUAGAAGGCUACAGCCCAUCACUGCACAGAAGGUAAAGUGGUGAGAAUGACUUGAGACAACUACUUCUCAUAUGGACUAGGAAGAGACCUCAGGUCAGGAUCAGUGUCCAUAGCUCUCUAGCCCCACCCCUGCUGCUCUAUGUCCAGACUCCAAGUCCACACGAUUCUAUUGAAUGAAAAAACAAUGAGGGCAGGUCCGGAGGAGGAGAAGGUUGACAUGAGGGAGAGUCAGGAAGAGGCAUCUGAAAAGAUCCAGACUAAACCAUGAGAAGAGGUAGGGGUGGGGGUGUGAGAGAGGAAGAGAAGGGAGAGGGAGCAAAGAGAUUCCCUAGGAACCCAAAGACCAAGAAUACCAAAAUGUCAAGAGACCCCAUGUCCAAAAUGGCUAAGGUUAUAUAGGGAUUACAGGCUGGGGGAAGGGAAGUCCAGUCCAGUCCUUGGUCUGAAGACUUUGGGGGGUGGGGGUAGGGGAAGGGGUUGGGCAGGGGGAUGAUGACUCUGUAACAGGUAUUGAGAGAGGCUGGGAGAACCUGGCAGCCAGCAUCCACUUUGAUAUGUUUUAAAUAGGCACCUCAGUUAUCCAUUUAUCCUGAGUUUGAGAUCUAAUAUCUAUGAUCUCCCAGAACAUUAUCACCAGCUGGGGACCAAGUGCUAAUGUAUGAGUGAGUAGGAGUGGGGCACUUCACAUUCAAGCCAUAACAGUUUCUCAUUUAGUUCUCAGAGCUACCUGUGAAGUUGGACUUAUUCUGUAGAAAGAGUUCAAAGCUGAAUAGGUUCUUAGUCCACAAGUUACUAACUAGCACUUAGCUAUUUACACAAUUCCUAGGAAAGAAAAUAUAUAUAAUAUAAUUCUAUUUUCCAGGAGUUUGUAGUCUGUGUGUGUGUGUCUAAUAUAUGUAUACAUAUAGCUACAUAUGAACUAUAUGAUAGCUACACCUUGAACUAUAGACCUGAGGAACCAUGCAAAGGCAGGAAAUUGUAGUUUAAAUGCAAGGAGAGAUAAGACCACUGCACCACUGCAGACUGGAUGGUUGUGAAGGAAUGCUUACUCCAACAGCUGAAGAACUGGAAGGAGGAAAGGGAGGCAAGAGAAUAACCAGGCAGCAGCAUGGAGGACCUCAGAGGCCCAGAAU